rnacentral:misc_RNA from 1 species
GAUGAAGAACGUAGCGAAAUGCGAUACUUGGUGUGAAUUGCAGAAUCCCGUGAACCAUCGAGUCUUUGAACGCAAGUUGCGCCCGAAGCCAUUAGGCCGAGGGCACGCCUGCCUGGGCGUCACACGUCGUUGCCCCCCCAUCUACUCCUUCGGGAUUGCGGGGGGCGGAUGAUGGCCUCCCGUGCGCCUCGCCGCGCGGUUGGCAUAAAUGUCAAGUCCUCGGCGACGCACGCCACGACAAUCGGUGGUUGCGAAACCUCGGUUGCCCGUCGUGUGCGGUCGUCGCGCAUCGAGGGCUCGAAAAAAUUGCCGGGUUCCGGCUCGGCUUUCAACGCGACCCCAGGUCAGGCGGGGUUACCCGCUGAAUUUAAGCAUAUCAAUAAGCGGAGGA